AGGAUAGUAGUUAAUAAUAACGUUUGAAUUGCACUCAAAAAGUAUUGAAUUUCUCAAUCUAUCUU
rnacentral:tRNA from 1 species